AACGCGAAGAACCUUACCAGGGCUUGACAUCCUCUGAAUGGGUGUGAAAGCAUCAGUUCCCCGCAAGGGGACAGAGAGACAGGUGCUGCAUGGCUGUCGUCAGCUCGUGUCGUGAGAUGUAGUGGUUAAGUCCCGCAACGAGCGCAACCCUCACCCAAUGUUGCUAGCAUGCCGGAGUUAGGGGUAGAAAUACUCUUAACAGGUGAUGAGAACUCUUUGGGAACUGCCCGUGUGAGCGGGAGGAAGGCGGGAUGACGUCAAGUCAGCAUGGCCCUUACGUCCUGGGCUACACACAUGCUACAAUGGGCGCUACAAAGGGAAGCAAGAGCGCAAGCUUAAGCAAAUCUCAAAAAAGCGUCCUCAGUACAGAUUGGGGUCUGCAACUCGACCCCAUGAAGGCGGAAUCGCUAGUAACCGUCGAUCAGCAAUGCGACGGUGAAUACGUUCCCGGGCCUUGUACACACCGAUAGC
rnacentral:rRNA from 1 species